rnacentral:rRNA from 1 species
GAGACUGUAAAGUGGAGCGAAACCCAGAAAAGUACUCUCAGUUCAGAUUGUGGGCUGCAACCCGCCCACCAUGAAGUUGGAGUUGCUAGUAAUCGCGGAUCAGCAUGCCGCGGUGAAUACGUUCCCGGGCCUUGUACACACCGCCCGUCACACCAUGGGAGUUGGGAGCGCCCGAAGCCGGUGAGGUAACCGAGAGGAGCCAGCCGUCGAAGGUGAGACCAAUGACUGGGGUGAAGUCGUAACAAGGUACC